rnacentral:rRNA from 1 species
AUGAACGCUGGCGGCGUGCCUAAUCCAUGCCAGUCGAGCGAACAGAUGAGGAGCUUGCUCCUCUGACGUUAGCGGCGGACGGGUGAGUAACACGUGGAUAACCUACCUAUAAGACUGGGAUAACUUCGGGAAACCGGAGCUAAUACCGGAUAAUAUAUUGAACCGCAUGGUUCAAUAGUGAAAGACGGUUUUGCUGUCACUUAUAGAUGGAUCCGCGCCGCAUUAGCUAGUUGGUAAGGUAACGGCUUACCAAGGCAACGAUGCGUAGCCGACCUGAGAGGGUGAUCGGCCACACUGGAACUGAGACACGGUCCAGACUCCUACGGGAGGCAGCAGUAGGGAGUCUUCCGCAAUGGGCGAAAGCCUGACGGAGCAACGCCGCGUGAGUGAUGAAGGUCUUCGGAUCGUAAAACUCUGUUAUUAGGGAGGAACAAAUGUGUAAGUAACUAUGCACGUCUUGACGGUACCUAAUCAGAAAGCCACGGCUAACUACGUG